rnacentral:SRP_RNA from 2 species
CCGUACUAGAUGGGAAAUUAGCGGUGUCCUGUACCUGCAAUCCGCUAUAGCAGGAUUGAAUUCCCGGCCUCGGCUUUUUUGCAGUAGGGUUCGCCUUAGAUAAGUGGCAAUGAUUAUUGGGCCCUGCGCAAUGAAAAUUUAUGAACCCCGUCAGGUCCGGAAGGAAGCAGCGGUAAAUAGACACUUUCAUGUGCCGUAGGAAAACCUAAUGUGAGUUAACUACCUAAGUAACACCUAAGGUAAUAAGUCAAAGCCGGGUGUACGG